AACGAACGCUGGCGGCAUGCUUAACACAUGCAAGUCGAACGAGAAAGUUCUUCGGAACGAGUAGAGUGGCGCACGGGUGAGUAACGCGUAGAUAAUCUACCCUUAAGUCAGGGAUAACUUCUCGAAAGGGGAGCUAAUACCUGAUGACAAUAAAUAUCGAGUGGUAUUUAUUUAAAAGUGUUAGCGCUUAAGGAUGAGUCUGCGUCCCAUUAGCUAGUUGGUGGGGUAAAAGCCUACCAAGGUAUCGAUGGGUAGCGGGUUUGAGAGGAUGAUCCGCCACACUGGAACUGAGACACGGUCCAG
rnacentral:rRNA from 1 species